GACGAACGCUGGCGGCGUGCUUAACACAUGCAAGUCGAACGGAGAGGCCUGCUUUCCCUUGUGGAUUGCGGGUACUCGAGUGGCGAACGGGUGAGUAACACGUGAGUGAUCUGCCCCCAACUUGGGUAUAAGCCUGGGAAACUGGGUCUAAUUCCCGAUAGGACUGCAGGGUGGUGCCUGUGGUGGAAAACGAUUUUCUAGUGGUUGGGGAUGAGCUCGCGGCCUAUCGGCUUGUUGGUGGGGUAAUGGCCUACCAAGGCGGCGACGGGUAGCCGGCCUGAGAGGGUGGACGGCCACAUUGGGACUGAGAUACGGCCCAGACUCCUACGGGAGGCAGCAGUGGGGAAUAUUGCACAAUGGGCGGAAGCCUGAUGCAGCGACGCCGCGUGGGGGAUGACGGCCUUCGGGUUGUAAACUCCUUUCGACCGCGAGGAAGCCACCUGGUUGGAAGGGUGGUGACGGUAGUGGUAGAAGAAGCACCGGCUAACUACGUG
rnacentral:rRNA from 1 species